GUUUCUAUCAUAUCCCCCCUGUCUCGUCUUUCCUCCAAGCUAUACAUGUUAAGAUCCUUUAACCUUUCCUGGUAAGUUUUAUCCCGCAAUCCAUGAACCAGUUUAGUAGCCCUUCUCUGAACCCUCUCUAAGGUAUCAAUAUCCUUCUGAAGAUACGGUCUCCCAGUACUGUGUACAAUACUCCAAGUGAGGUCUCACCAGUGUUCUGUAUAAUGGCAUGAGCACUUCCCUCUUUCUACUGCUAAUACCUCUCCUAUACAACCAAGCAUUCUGCUAGCAUUUCCUGCUGCUCUAUUACAUUGUCUGCCUACCUUUAAGUCAUCAGAAAUAAUCACCCCUA